UGGGGAAUAUUGCACAAUGGGGGAAACCCUGAUGCAGCGACGCCGCGUGAGCGAAGAAGUAUUUCGGUAUGUAAAGCUCUAUCAGCAGGGAAGAAAAUGACGGUACCUGACUAAGAAGCACCGGCUAAAUACGUGCCAGCAGCCGCGGUAAUACGUAUGGUGCAAGCGUUAUCCGGAUUUACUGGGUGUAAAGGGAGCGCAGGCGGUACGGCAAGUCUGAUGUGAAAGCCCGGGGCUCAACCCCGGUACUGCAUUGGAAACUGCCGGACUAGAGUGUCGGAGGGGUAAGUGGAAUUCCUAGUGUAGCGGUGAAAUGCGUAGAUAUUAGGAGGAACACCAGUGGCGAAGGCGGCUUACUGGACGAUGACUGACGCUGAGGCUCGAAAGCGUGGGGAGCAAACAGG
rnacentral:rRNA from 1 species